rnacentral:rRNA from 1 species
UUCCGUAGGUGAACCUGCGGAGGGAUCAUUACAGAGUUAUCUAAACUCCCAAACCCAUGUGAACAUACCUCGCGUUGCCUCGGCAGGUGGCGUCCUACCCCGCGAGACCUACCCUGUAGGACCCGUACCCGGUAAGGCGACCCUGCCGACGGCCCCCGAAACUCUGUUUUUUAUAGCAUUGGACUUCUGAAACGAUAACUAAAUCAGUUAAAACUUUCAACAACGGAUCUCUUGGUUCUGGCAUCGAUGAAGAACGCAGCGAAAUGCGAUAAGUAAUGUGAAUUGCAGAAUUCAGUGAAUCAUCGAAUCUUUGAACGCACAUUGCGCCCACUAGUAUUCUGGUGGGCAUGCCUGUUCGAGCGUCAUUUCAACCCUUAAGCCCCUGUUGCUUAGCGUUGGGAGCCUACUGGAACCCUCCUGUAGCUCUCUAAAGUCAGUGGCGGAGCCGGUUCGCACUCCAGACGUAGUAGCUUUUACACAUCGCCUGUAGCUUGGACCCGGUCCCCUGCCGUAAAACACCCCCCAUCUUAUAGGUGACCUCGAUCAGGUAGAUGCCCGUUCUGC